AGGACGAACGCUGGCGGCGUGCUUAACACAUGCAAGUCGAGCGGUAAGGCUCCUUCGGGAGUACACGAGCGGCGAACGGGUGAGUAACACGUGAGCAAUCUGCCCUUCACAUCGGAAUAACCUCGGGAAACCGAGGCUAAUACCGGAUACGACCAUCGGUGGCAUCAUCUGAUGGUAGAAAGUUCCGGCGGUGGAGGAUGAGCUCGCGGCCUAUCAGCUUGUUGGUGGGGUAAUGGCCUACCAAGGCGACGACGGGUAGCCGGCCUGAGAGGGUGACCGGCCACACUGGGACUGAGACACGGCCCAGACUCCUACGGGAGGCAGCAGUGGGGAAUAUUGGACAAUGGGCGAAAGCCUGAUCCAGCAACGCCGCGUGAGGGAUGACGGCCUUCGGGUUGUAAACCUCUUUCAGCAGGGACGAAGCGAAAGUGACGGUACCUGCAGAGAGCACGCACUACGCGCAGCAGCGCGU
rnacentral:rRNA from 1 species